rnacentral:rRNA from 1 species
UACGUAGGGUGCGAGCGUUGUCCGGAAUUAUUGGGCGUAAAGGGCUCGUAGGCGGUUUGUCGCGUCGGGAGUGAAAACCUCGGGCUUAACUCGGGGCUUGCUUUCGAUACGGGCAGACUAGAGGUAUGCAGGGGAGGACGGAAUUCCUGGUGUAGCGGUGAAAUGCGCAGAUAUCAGGAGGAACACCGGUGGCGAAGGCGGUUCUCUGGGCAUGAUCUGACGCUGAGGAGCGAAAGUGUGGGGAGCGAACAGG